rnacentral:rRNA from 1 species
GAGUUUGAUCGUGGCUCAGGAUGAACGCUAGCGGCAGGCCUAAUACAUGCAAGUCGAACGGGACUAAGUAGCAAUACUUAGUUCAGUGGCGCACGGGUGCGUAACGCGUAUGCAACCUACCUUUAACUGGGGGAUAGCCCGGGGAAACCCGGAUUAAUACCGCAUAAGAUCACGAGAGGGCAUCUGAUUGUGAUUAAAGAUUUAUCGGUUAAAGAUGGGCAUGCGUGCCAUUAGCUAGUUGGUAGGGUAAAGGCCUACCAAGGCUACGAUGGCUAGGGGUUCUGAGAGGAUGAUCCCCCACACUGGCACUGAGAUACGGGCCAGACUCCUACGGGAGGCAGCAGUAGGGAAUAUUGGGCAAUGGACGGAAGUCUGACCCAGCCAUGCCGCGUGCAGGAAGAAGGCCUUCUGGGUUGUAAACUGCUUUUAUCUGGGAAGAAAACGCCCCUGCGGGGGAAACUGACGGUACCAGAUGAAUAAGCACCGGCUAACUCCGUGCCAGCCGCCGCAGUAA